rnacentral:rRNA from 1 species
UACAGAGGGGGCAAGCGUUAUUCGGAAUUAUUGGGCGUAAAGGGCGCGUAGGCGGCUUGGCAAGUGGAAGGUGAAAUCCCUCGGCUUAACCGAGGAACUGCCCUCCAAACUGCUUUGCUUGAGGCCGGGAGAGGCGAGUGGAAUUCCCAGUGUAGCGGCGAAAUGCGUAGAUAUUGGGAGGAACACCAGUGGCGAAGGCGGCUCGCUGGACCGGUUCUGACGCUGAGGCGCGAAAGCGUGGGGAGCGAACAGG